CCAAUAGCGUAUAUUAAAGUUGUUGCAGUUAAAAAGCUCGUAGUUGAAUUUCGGGAUUGACGUGACGGUCGUGCCUUACGGGGUAUGAACUGUUGCUGUUGAUUUCUCACCUUCUGGAGAAACUUGAUGUCCUUAAUUGGGUGUCUUGCGGAUCCAGGACCUUUACCUUGAAAAAAUUAGAGUGUUUAAAGCAGGCAUUUUUGCUCGAAUACAUUAGCAU
rnacentral:rRNA from 1 species